AUGGGCGAGGCGGCGGCGGCGCACCGGAGGAUCCAGUUCCACGCGGCGGCGAGGCAGGGGGCGGGGGCGGCCGGAGGGGCCCCGAUGCGGAGGCCGUACCAGAACCCCGACAGGCGCUUGGCGCUAGCGGCGGCGGCGGCGCGGGAGAAGAAGGGCGAAGCGGGCGCGGGCGGGCUCGAUCGGGAGCUCGCCGCCGCCAGGGUCUACCUGCGAAGAAUCGGGGCUGGCUUGCAUAAUCUCGGCAAUACGUGCUACCUCAACUCGGUCCUGCAAUGCCUGACGUACACAGAGCCCUUCGUGGCGUACCUGCAGAGCGGGAAGCACACGUCAUCAUCAUGCCGAGCAGCUGGAUUCUGUGCACUGUGUGCUCUCCAGAACCAUGUUAGAUGUGCCCUACAGUCAACUGGGAAGAUAUUGACACCGGUGCAGUUUGUGAAGAACUUAAAAUGCAUUUCUCGUAGUUUUCGUUACUAUAGGCAGGAAGAUGCACACGAGCUAAUGGUUAACUUACUUGAGUCCAUGCACAAAUGCUGUUUACCUUCGGGUAUACCAAGUCAGUCUCCGAGUGCUUAUGAGACCAGUCUAGUUCACAGAAUAUUUGGUGGCCGCUUAAGAAGUCAGGUGAGAUGUGCAAGUUGCUCCCACUGUUCCAGCAAAUUCGAUCCUUUCCUGGAUCUCAGUCUGGAAAUUGCUAAUGCUGCUACGUUGGUGAAAGCACUUCAAAAUUUUACUGAAGAAGAGGCUUUAGAUGGCGGGGAGAAGCAGUACAACUGCCAGAGCUGCAAGAAAAAAGUUGUGGCCAAGAAAAGAUUUACAAUUGAUAAGGCUCCUGAUGUAUUGACAAUUCAUCUGAAGCGUUUUAGUCCUUUUAACCCUGGUCAAAAGAUCAACAAAAAAGUGGAUUUUCAGUCAACUUUGAACUUGAAGCCAUUUGUCAGUAAUUCAGAAGGCAUGGAUUUCAGAUACAGUCUUUAUGGUGUGUUGGUUCAUGCUGGCUGGAAUACACAAUCAGGUCACUAUUAUUGCUUUGUUCGGACUUCUAGUGGGAUUUGGCACAAUCUUGAUGAUAACGAGGUUUGCCAAGUUCGUGAGGCAGAUGUAUUGAGGCAGAAAGCCUAUAUGUUAUUCUAUGUGCGUGACAGGGUGAGGAGCUCAGUGAUGUUCAAAAAUAAUGGUGCUGCUGGUUCGUUAGUUAAGAAUGCUAUUUCUGAGAAGACCGCUAAUAUGAAUGGCACAAUUCGAAACGGUUUAAUGGAAGCAAAAUUGAAUGUUCCCUCAUUUACCAAUGGAGAUGUUAAGUCGCAGAAGCAGAACCCAGAUGAUGGUCGUCCUAGCAUUUUUGGCAGCAGCUCACAAGGCCAGUGUUCAAAAUAUUCUAGCAGUACUGGAGUUAUUGAAGCCGCAGCUGUCCAAAACAAUGGUGUCCAAAACAAUGGUAUGGUUUCAGUACAGACAGCUGCUGCUACCUUGUCCAUCAACACAACCAAGACAACUUCAGAUAGUGCAAGGGAGAUAGUUUCAUCAGCACAGCCUGAUGUUACUGUUCCUCAUAAUUCAAGCUGUGACCCGAAGGCGUAUGAGAAGCCAUUGCAAGAACAGCAACCUGAGUCCGAUGGUGCAUUUACUGAUUCAGGUAAAGGCAGUACUGCUGCCUUGCCCAUAUGCAAUGGCGGUGAUGGGAUGUUGGAAGAAAAUCACCAGGCUUCUGAACCUCGAACAGAUCCAUGUGGUGAACAAACUCUCAAUACAAGUAAGCCAGCGGAAAGUGCAGAAAUAAAGAAAACCAAGCAUACGAUGCUUUCUGUUUCUAAUGGAACAAUGCCCAGUAGAGAAGAUUUAACCUGCUGUAAUGAAGCUAAAGAGUCAGCAGAGUCUGGGAAGCAACCUGAUGAAAUAGCUAUGGAGGAGCUUUCUGCGGAGAGCACAGGUGCUAUAACAAAUGCAGUGGAGCAGACUUCAGUCCAGACUAAAACAGCAGAGGUUGGCCAGGCUACGGUGGAGGAGCUUUAUGUGAAGGACACCGACUGCAUUGCAAAUGCACAGGAGCAGGCUUCUAUGCAGAACAAAGAUCUGGUAGCUGGGCAGGCUCACUCUGAGGCACACAUCUAUUCUGAAGUUUCCGCACAGCCGAUCUGCCCUGAAGUUUCUUCACUGGCGAUCUGCCCUGAAGUUUCUUCACUGGCGAUCUGCCCUGAAGUUUCUGCACAGGCGAUCUGCCCUGAAGUUUCUCCACAGGCGAUCUGCCCUGAAGUGUCCGCACAGGCGAUCUGCCCUGAAGAUCCUGCACAGGCGAUCUGCCCUGAAGUGUCCGCACAGGCGAUCUGCCCUGAAGUUCCUGCACAGGUGAUCUGCCCUGAAGUUCCUGCACACGUGAUCUGCCCUGAAGCUUCUGCCCAGGUGAUUUGCCCUGAAGACCCUGCACAAGUGUUGGAUAAGGAUCCAUGCCAUGGUAAUUUACGUACAAUGAAGGAUUUGAAGUCCAAGAAGCAUACGGAUUAUUCAACUGUGCACUUGCUUUUUGUGUCCAAGCAACCUUUACUUGCUGCACUAAAACUGCACAAGAAAAGGAAACACAAAAGAGCUAAAAGGCAGUCCAUUGACAAUGGAAUCAUCGCUGAUGAUCAGCAGACAUCAACAUCAGAAACUGUUUUUACCAAGGACAUAUCAUGUAAAUCCCAUAGAAGACGCAAACGCUCCCGCGCCCCUGCAAGUUCUGAUAAUGGUGUUGAGAUAUCCACGAAGAAACCACAUCUCGCUGAGCGCUCCAGCAGUGCUGCUGAUCUUCCCGUGGACAAGAAAGAUGACAAGGAUGCAACACCCGCUAGUGCCGAGCUACCAGGUCCAUGCGUAAGCUCUGUUGCGGACCAGACUGAUUCACGAAACAGCGCAGAUGCAAACGAGAGAGUCCCCUCGCAUUUCGAUCUGCUCACGAGGGGUUUGAGUGAAAUUACCGUUCCACUGUGGGAUGACACUGACAUGUCGGGUAGAAAGUCAGAGUUUCAAUAUUCGAGAAGGGCCGAGAGUAUUGGUUAUGUGCUAGAUGAAUGGGACGAGCAGUAUGACCGCGGGAAAAGGAAGAAGGUGAGGAAGCCACGGGAGGAGUCGAACGGACCGAACCCGUUCCAAGAGGCGGCCGAUGUCAGAGCACGGCCGAGGAAGAGACCGAGAUCCGACCAGGCCAGAUGGGGAAACCAGCCUCGCAGGAUAUGA
rnacentral:rRNA from 1 species